rnacentral:lncRNA from 1 species
UGCUAGGGCAGUGGAGGUUAACUCACACCACACCGUCAGAUCCACCCCAGCACCAGCCUGUCUGUGUGAGAGUUCCGGAUUCUGUUCACGGAAAACGUUCCUACAGGCAGCUCUAAAAAUAGAUGCCUGAGUUCUAGCUGAAGGUUCUCCAAGCCGGAGGAAAGAGGGAAGAUGUGAGCCACUGCAGGUUUGGAGGAUGGUGCAUGUCCGGCCUCUCCCGGUGGCUCCUGUGUGGCGUGAUUCAGCUUCCUCACAACAUGGUGGCCAGGUCCUGAGAGUGAGUGCCCAGGAGAUACAGGCAGAAGCUGCAGAAGUCACAUUUAAC